GAUCCCAUAUGUUUAAAACCUGAGACACCAGAUACUAAUAAAAGUCUGGAUGAGCUCCAUAUCACAGUUCUCUGCCCUCAAAGAAUACAGAGGAGAUAGAUGUCAGCAGUUGAUAUGUGUAAAUAUAUGCCAGCUACUUGGAAUGUAUUAUUUCACUGUAAUCUCUAGAACAGCUUUUAUACAGAUAUAAUCAUUCCCACUUUAGUAAUAGUUUGCAUGAGGCAGGGUCAGCAUUCAAUCUUACAAGCAUGUCUUGCUUUGGAGCCCCUAAUUCUCCAGGUACCCAAACUCCUAGGUAAGAAUAUCAGUUCUCCCAGGUGAUUUGCUCAGAAUUACAUGAGAAAAUUUAACAACUGGGCUAGAGGCCUUGAAUAGGAGGAAACGCGGAAGACAUAGUCCAAUGAAUGAGAAGUAGGAAAGAAGAGUAGAAAAGUUGGAGUAGCCUAAGGCAGCUAAUAUUGCGGUUAAAAGAAUCCCCAGGAAGAGCACUGCAUAUCCAUGAUGGGAUGGGAAAGGCAGCCGUUUUUUAAAUCAGGAUGAGAAGAUUAGAGGAGGAUAAGGAAAGGAUGGCUACAGAGGUUAAUAAAAUUAAGAUGGACCUCACGUGGAGGCACCCAGCAACUGUGGGCCCGUGGUGGAAAGUGGGGAGUGAUGGUGAGGGCAAAUCAGAAGAAGAAGAGAGUUAAAUUUUAUUAUUACUUCUGGAUCCCAGCUCGAACCAGCUUGAAAUUGACCUCGUUCUCACCAUUCCAUGUCCUAAUGUGGGGACUAGCAUCACUAAUCUACUAAGCUUGCCUUUGAGACUUUGCAUCUGAAAUAUUGAGGUGACCCUGACAUUGGAAUCCUGGUCACAUGCCCAAUGUUAAGAUGAUGAGACAUAUUUCUGGCUCCCAGGUGUGUCUUCCACUGAUAAGAGUUGUGUGAAGCUGCGGUGAUGCUCAAGCCUAGCUGCAUUAUUAGACUCACCUGGGCAGUUUUUAGAACUAAAAAGUCUGGGCCUAAGCCCAGUAAAACCGAACCAGAAAUGUGGGGACAGGAAGGGCCUGGGCAAUGGUAGGUUUCAAACCCUCCCACGGGGGUUCUAAAGUGCAGCAAGGGCUUAGAACUAAUGAGAGCAUCUUGCUCUCUGAACUGCACAGUCAAAGAAACAAAGGAUGAGAUGUUAUGUAUUGAAUCCUCAAGCAAGUUUUAUAUUCUUAUAUGUGAGCUAGGACCUCUGCUGUGAGAUAAUUUGUCAAUAAAACUAUCGUCAAGAUUUUAAACAUUGAGAUUUCUUACUUUCAACACAAAGAAUAGCAUGUGUCUAUAUCAAAGUACCAACAGGAAUUUGGAUUUAAACAGAUCUGGCAUUUUUCCUUUGUAUCUUUUUUUUCUUUUUGUCAAUUCGUUAUCAUCUUUUCCAAGAAAAAGAGCAAGAAGUGAGCAUCUCCUUUGGUUAAUCACUUGAAUGUGAAUGCCAAUAAUUCCAUUCUAAACAAUCCAGGCACAACAGUAGAGUCUGCUAAGAAGAAAAAUUAAAUAUAUGAAAUUCACAAGAACAGCUGCCAGACACUGAAUCUCUAAAAUAACUUCAGGGUAUAGAGGGUCAUGGGCUUCCCAGGUUAUGCUAGUGGUAAAGCACCUGCCUGCCAAGGCAGGAGAUAUAAGAGACUCAGGUUUGAUCCCUGGGUCAGGAAGAUCCCCUGAAAGAGGGCAUGGAAAACCACUCCAGUAAUUCUUGCCUGGAGAAUCCCAUGAACAGAGGAGCCUGGUCGGGUACGGCCCAUAGGGUCACAAAGAGUCGGAUACUUCUGAAGCGAUUCACCACGCACACAAUAGAGGGGUCACUUAUAUCUGAAGUGUGACUAGCAACACCAAGAAGCUACAGGAUCCUGACAAGUGCUGCAACAAGAGAACAUAACGUGAUGAAAAACCUGCAAAGAAUUCCUUGUUUCCUAGAAAUACGAGAUCUUGUUAAGAAUUUAAAAACUAUUAAUUUUUAAAAGGGGAUUGUUUUUCAGGACUCUCUCUCUUAGGACUAAAGCAUCCUUCAAUUGGAUAAGAGGAAAAGAAACAUUAAAUCUCAGCAUUUGAUGGCACGAGCUGAGGAUAUUUCAUUAGAUACAGACUGAGA
ensembl:lncRNA